UCAGGAAGCACUCCCAGUUCCAGUGGUGGCAGAUAUCACCAGAGUCAUGCUGUAUUGUGAUGACCUGCUCUGGAGAUGAAUUUCCAAGAAGGGAUGUAAAUCACAGAACAACCAGGGCUACCUACAUGUGGAAAAUCCAGGCCUCGCUACUGAAUCUACCCAUGAGUGACAGUAUCAGUGGAGACAUGUAGGAGGAACAGCUACUCGAUUUGCUCCUUUGGGACAAUGCCAUUAAGAAACUGAUGGCCUACUUAGUUUCUAAGCUAACCCAACAGAGUAUGGCCACAAAGAGAGGGGGCUCUGCACGCGAUCCCUGUCAGAACCCCUUUAAUCACGGCUCCCAGCUUCGGGAAGAGUAAGACAGGAUUGCUGCAAGAGAGACCAUGAUCCCAGUCACCUGGUCAUCUCCAUGGUGAUUCACAAAAUAGGAGAGCUGUGUGACAGAAAUCAGAAAUCUUCAACCUUAGAGAGCAAAAGUGGGGGUGACUGAGGGGUUCUGGGGCCAUCCCAAAGCACAGGCGUCUCAAGUGUCCGAGUCAGCAAUGUGAAUGAGAGAAGACAACGCAGAGCUGCUGCCGAGACGUCAGGCUUGCAAAGCCCACCUGGACCUGAUGUGUCUUCAACCAGAGAGGGCCAGAAAUAACGACGGACACAAGUCCUCCGAGAGACGCUGACCACUGGACAGGCUUACCUGGGUCACGGCGUCAGUAAGAGCUCCACACUUGCCGCUGCAGUGACAUACUUUCUCAGAGCUGACACCGGAGCUACUUUUUUAAACACAAGGACGGAGUCCUCGGCAUUUGCCACCACAAAGCCCAACAGAUAAAACUAUCAAAGGAAGCCGGGCAAAGCAGCCGGACUGCUGUGGCGUGUUUCCUUUCAAGGGCAGAGAGCUAACUGCAAAAUUCACACCCCAUUAGUGCAGAAACAAAAUCCCCCAUGUAUCUAAUUCAGAGAUAGUUGUCUAGUAUGGAGAAAAGAUGGGGAGAUGGCUCAGGGGUUCAGAGCACGGGUCCAUAACUCCAGUUCUAGGGGAUAUGAUGCCCUCUUCUGGCCUCCUCGGGCACUGCACCCAUAUGACGUGCCUACAUAUAUGCAGGAAAACACUUAUGACACAUAAAAUAAAUAAUUGUUUAAAGUAUUAAAAAAGCAGAGAGGGAAUGGAGCACAGAGUGAUUUCUUAGGUCUUCAGGCUCCUUUUUGCAUGAGGAUUCGGAAGUUCCGUCCUAGGUUUUUCCCUUUUACCUGGGGUGGGGGACAAGAUAUACUUAAGAGUUCUUCUGUGAUGCAGACGGUGGAAAACCAGUGGUAUUUGAUUCUAGUUUCAUCUAUUUAAAACUUAUUCAAGUGCAAUACAACAGGUUGUUUUUAUUAUUUAAAAAGGUUUUAUUACUAUGUUUUUUUUUUUAUUAUUGAGAAGGUCACAGAGGUAUACAAUGUUAUUCCCCAACCCCCUCUAACUCCUCUGAGUCUCCACCCACACCCCCAUUUCAUGCCCUUUAUUAAAAAGAGAAGGCAAAACCCCGGACCCACUGAGUCCACUUGGCAUUACCCAUAUCCUCAUGGUUGUAAAGCCAUUCACAGGAACAUGGUAAUCCACCAGCGGCCAAGGAGGUGGGCCUUUUUUCCCCUUUUUUAAAAUUGACAAGAUAAUGAUGACGUACUAUUUUGAUGGGCUUGUUUAAAAAAAAACAAAAUAAAGCAAGAUGCUGUUCUCUCAUUAAAAUAUUAAAAAUUGCUUCAACUUAAAUAAUAUGCUGUAGCAUGAAUAUUAAAAGGUCUUAUUAAUAAAAAUAAACCUGGAGCCAGUUAUUGGGGUGAACGCUGAAAGUUCAGAGAGACAGAACAGGCCACAGGUAACCUCACCUUGCCAACUUCUCAGUCGAUCCUGUUUCCUUAAACUGGAAGCCUCUGAGUCCUCAUCCAAAUGGAUCUCAGCUGAACUGCUGCUAAAAGCCUAAAAGCUUAACAGACUCUAGUUCCUGGUCCUCAUACCUUAUAUACCUUUCUGCUUCCUGCCAUCACUUCCUGGGAUUAAAGGCGUGUGUCUCCAUGCCUGGAUGUUUCCAGUGUGGCCUUGAACUCACAGAGAUCCAGAUGGAUCUCUGCCUCCAGAAUGCUAGGAUUAAAGGUGUGUGUGCCACCAUUUUCUGGCCUCUGUGUCUAUCUAGUGGCUGUUCUGUUCUCUGACUCCAGAUAAGUUUAUUAGGAUGCACAAUAUAUUGGGGGACACAAUAUAUCACCACAGUAUAUUGUAAUGAAAAUUCUGCUAAACCCUGGGCUACACAGGAAAUAGUGUUUAUGGUGGGGAAAUAAAAUAAAAUACUGGUCUAAGAUAAUCCUUUAUCUUUCACAGGCAAGUCUUUUAUAGCAAGCAGGGCAAGGCUCAUUCCCACAGACAACACCCACAGAGGGCCUGCUCCCUUUGCUCUGCUUCUGCAUUUGGGCUGCUUUUGAACAUAAACCAGGGGUUUUCUAAGCGUGGUCUCAGGAAAGCCAGCACCAGAAAAGCCUGCGAACUUGGUUCCAGUUGAAUCAGAAAUUCUGACAGUGGGGCCUGAGAAUCUGAUUGGACAAAGCUGUUCAGGGAGUUCUGAUGUACCUUAGGCCACAGAGAUGGCGAGGUUCAGUGGACAUGCUCCAGUGGGAUUGGUCUGUGGAAAGGACAUCCUGGUCUGGGUUACACAUAUCCAUGGAAACGCAGACCAUCUGUGGCAAGAUGACUGCCAGCAAUGGCCAUUACUAUUACUUACCUUUGAGGAAACAACAUGAAACAGCUUCAACUUCUGAUUUCUGCUCUCCUAAAACCUCAUUUUCUAGGCUUUCGGCAGAGGUUUUUCAUGCACGAAGGGGAAAACAGUAGUUAAUCCAGGGCUUCUCACUUUGGCGUUAGAGACAUUUAGGCUAGGUAAUUUUUGUUGAAGGAGCUGGCCUGCAUGGUGGAAGUUUACCAGCGUCCCUGGUUUCUUCCCAUUGGACACAAGGAACUUCUCCCUCCACGCUGUCCUCUUAGCCAGGUCUUGACGACCAGAAGCCUUUCUAGACACUGCCAGGGACCUCUGCAGAACAGAAGUGUGCUUGGCUGGGAAACAGUGACUUAGCCAAUGCAGCCCUAGUCCAUAGUGGCCACGAAGGAGAAAUGUGGCAGCCAGAGGACCGGCCUGGAGGACUCACGUUGUAGGAGCGGUUGUGCCUCUGUCUCCAGCACCACCUGCACGGUGAUCAGGUCAGAGAAGAAGACCAUCUCCAUGUGCACGGUCUCAUUGCCCCCAUGCAUCUGAGGCAUCUUGUAGCAGGAAUCUUAACAGUUCUUAUUAAUAAAAUCAAACCUCAGGCCAGUUAUUGGGGUCAAUGCUGGUAGAUCAGAGUGACAGAACAAGCCACAGCUAUCUCACCUUGCCAAUUCCUCAGCUGGUCCUGUUUCCUCAGACGGGAAGCCUCUGAGUCCUCAUCCAGAAUGAAUCUCAGCUGAACUGUGUUGCUCCAAAGCCUGAAUGCUUAACCAGGCCAAAUGCUUAACCAGGCAAAUGCUUCCAGUUUCUGGUCCUCACGCCUUAUAAACCUUUCUGCUUUCUACCACCACUCCCUGGGAUUAAAGGCUGCUUUCUGGCAUUAAAGGUGUGAGUCACCAUGCCUGGCCGUUUCCAAUGCGGCCUUGAACUCACAGAGAUCCAGAGGGAUUUCUGUCUCUGGAAUGCUAGGAUUAAAGGCGUGUGCUAACAUUUUCUAGCCUAAGUAUCUUGUGGCUUUUCUGUUCUCUGACCCCAGAUAAGUUUAUUAAGGUACACAAUAUUUUGGGGAACACAAUACCACCACAGCAUCUUCUCCUGAUUCAGGCUGCACCCGACAAACAGGCCAUGAAAAACACCUCUGCGUGUCUGGCAAAACCACCCCACCCUGGCUCAUAGGGACGUGAGGAUUUCAAAUGGAGGUGGUGGUCAGCUUUGAAAAUAGUUUUUCUUGGUUUCUUCCUUUCCCUUGGGAUUGGGGGAAGGAGCAGCAAAACCAAGCCCCCACUCCCCCAGCCCUUUGCUUUCAUGUGCGACUUUGACCCCAGUCUUGUCUUUUCAUGUAAGAGACUAAGUAGGUAGAGGAGAGUUAGGUUCUGGCUGGCUCCAGAUCAGCCAUUUUAUUGGCUCACAACCCUGGGAAUGUCAUCUGUCUUCUCCGCAAUAAUUCCUUAAUAACUCAUGAAACACACAGGUCUAUAAAAGAACUUACAAGUUGACUUUAGUUUCCACUAUUUUUAAGCAAAAAGCUGUCCUGCAGAUAGAUGGUGCCUGUGCCCACGGUGGUGAUCUUAACCGACUGGCGAUUGAUAGCUCUAGAGUGGGCUGCAUAAACAGUCAUAUUAGUACGACCAUGACAGGGAGGAAAAACAAGUCUAAGUAUUUUCUUGGACAGGACAGAUGAUAAAUGGGCUUCAGUUUUAGUUGGACACUCUUCUGCACUGUGAUAAAUAACAUCACUAAAAUAGCAUGCCACCUGAUAUGUGACCUUGAAGAGACUCUAGAGCAAGUAUUCUUGACCUUGACAGUAAAUUAAGAUUAUUAGAGAACUUUAGACAAUCCCGGUGCCCAAGCUGCAUCCCAGAGCCAUUAAGUGACACAUAAGGGGCCCUGAGAGCUGGAUCUCACACAGAAAGGCCAGCCCCUAGUUCUUCAGCCUGCCAGAAUUCAUGCAUUGGAGAUACAGCCCCUGUCACUGUCACUUGUCAGCCCAAUCUUGACAACACUUUGAUCUCAGCCCUUCAGCCUCUACAAAUACCAGGAGAUCAGUGUUUGCUGCUUAAACCAUCCCAUCUGCGUUAUCUUAUUAUGGUAGCCCUAGCAACGGGAUGCAGAUUCCCAGGAUAGAAAUUUAUGUUUUAAAAAUUUAACUAUGAUAAGUUUCCUUUUCAUGGCUACAUAAAACUAACUGCAUUUUAAUGGGAUGUGGUGCAAUAUUUACAUACACGUAUAGGCUGCAUAAUGUUUAAAGUGUCAGUAAUUAAAAAUAAAAUCCUCAUGUGAUUUUAAGGGUGGUCAAGACUGGGAACCACCAGUCCAAAAGGCCGAGGGAGAGACAGAGAGACAAUGUAGUGGUGGUGGUGGGACAGACAGAGAGAGGGGGAGAGGGAGAGGAGAGAAAGGGAGAGAGAGGAGGGGAAGGAAGGGGAGGGAGGGAGGGAGAGAGAGAGACAGAGACAGAGACAGAGAGACAGAGAGAGAGACAGAGGCAGAGAGAGAGACAGAGACAGAGAGAGAGAGAGAGGGAGGCAGACAGACAAAGUUAGUCAAACUUAAAGUCAAAUCCAUCAGGGGAGGGGAGGAAAAUGUAAGUACAGGACAGCAUGAUCUCCAUGGCAGUGGGACACGCUCAGUCACAGAACCUUCUGGCUGUUAUCAUGUGCAGUUAGCUAGCGCUGUAGCCAGAAGCCUGUGACCUUUUAAAGGUUCUUGUUGGGUAUGCCAGCCAUUUGGGGUCUCUCCUUUUCCAGCAUUUCUACAGAGCUUGGAAGUGUCCAGCACUUCAGAAAAGGGCCCCAUCCAAACCCCGGGGUGCCCCCUGCUGGAGAAGGCACAGAAAUGAGCUUUCUGAGAUAAUUACGUGGAGCUUGGAGAUGGGCUUAGGACAUCAGUCUUGGAAGGGACAAGGAUGGACUAGAACCUUUCAUUUACCAAGUGAAGGAGGUGGAGUCAAAUCGGGGACGUCCCACGGAGAAGGUUACAUGGAUAUGUUGGACGUCGAUCAGAGACAAGCGUGUGAGAGACACACUCACUCCGGGGAGAAAUGGAAGCGAAGAAAGAGAAAUGACAGCCUAAGAACUCACGCCUUCUGCAGACCUAAAUCCAAAAUGAGAUUAACUAUCCUGUGAAAUGAAUGGCCUUUCCACACAGAAAGGCCACGCGGAAAGGACACAGGACUCAUGGAUUCAGCAUCAAUCUAAAAUGGGACGUCCAUAGACAGAAAACAAAAUCUGCCUCAUGACAGUAAUCUAGUGUGUGUGUGUGUGUGUGUGUGUGUGUGUGUGUGUGUGUGUGUGUGUGUGUGUGUACCUAUAUAACACCCCACUGCAUUCCCCCAUGUAUAUGUAAUGAAAAUGCAUCCCAAGUGGAUGAACCUACAUGGAAGUACUUUGAAGAGCAUAAAUUAGUAUACACAUGUAAGAACUAUUUCCUAUUUUGAAUAGGAAUACAUUCAUAAUUGAUUACUCUAAUGCAAAAAGGGAGGGGCUUGUCAUUUUUAUUUCUUUCAUGUGGUGCUCACAGUACCCAAUGGCCCUGCUAUAGGUCCCAGAACACAGAGGAAACAAUGCGUAAAGAAAACCAGAUGUGUCAUGUGCCUAAAAUAAAUGAGAACUUCAUAGUGCCACAUUUUUAAGAACACACAAAUCUAACUUGGUGGUACUGCAAGGGUCACGUGGGAGAAGACACAUUAAAAUCCACACUCGGGGUCUAAAGUAUCUGUGUCACAUACACACACGCUAUCUCACUCCCACUCUAUCUUAGGACAUUUACAAAUACAACAAUGACUUCAUCCAAUCUCUCAAACUGUUAAGAGGAGAAUCUUACUGUUAAUAAAAACAGCCAUAAAAGUACUAAUAACUUACUUCCAUGCAUCAUCUGUGGAGAGCUUGGAGAGCUGGAAAACAUAAAAGGACACUUAUUAAAAUUUCUUUAUUUUCUCAACAUGUAUUUUAAAACAUUACAUGAGAAAUCCAAACUAGAAAAAAAAAACUGUAACGUUCUCCAACACUGGAAUCAUUGAAGAUGAAAGUAAUUAUAAAAUAAUUUGCUUAUAGAAUGAAAACAAAACAAACAAACAAACGGAAAACACAGCAAGACACCAGCAACCAGGUCACUGUUAAUAAAUAUUUGAUUCUCUUCCUAGGUCAGGAAACCAGAUGUGUCUCCAAUUCCUGUACUGCAGCUUUGGCAAAUCAGUCAAGACUGUGGAGAGUGGCCUCUCGUGGGCAGCACCCCGUUAGCUUCAGGGAUAUGGCUUGUAAAUCCAGUCCUCCUAAAAACCAUCUGGUGGAUGGUGUCUGGAGGGAUGCCAUCUCUAAGUUCAAGGCUUUAGAGUCAGAGCUAACUAGAAGUUGAAUUUGUUUGGCAUUAUUGCUGUGCCUUCUAGGUAAGGAGGCAUCACUGUGCAGAGCCCUAUACCCUUGCAGUUGAACUGGAGCACACAGACAUUCCCAGAACGGAAUCCGCCAAAGAGUGCCUCUAGUUACUUAAAACCUUCAAAUCGAUCAGUAGAAAAACAACCUUACGACAGCUUAUUUCCUAGGCCAGCAGUGUUAAAGAUCCCGUCCAAAAGCUGAAAUUCCUGAAGAUAGCAGAGAAGAGAAGGUAAAUAGAACGCCUGUUACACAGAUUUAGUAUUGCCCGCACAUUCUCCUCCACGCUUUCUUCAAAUGGCGCAGGCAAUUCUGACAUGGCUCUGUCUAAGAUUUCCAACUCAAAUGGACUCUAUAUGAGUAUGCGCUUCUGUGAGAGGCACGAGGUGUUCCCUUAGAAGAGAGAGCAAAGCUCUGGACGACUGCUCAGUUUCUUAGACAGGCUCGGGCAACAUUUUCCUGGAUGAUGCCAGGAAACAGGAGGUGGCUGCUGCAAUGCUUGAUGCUGACAUCCAUCCCAUGGCUUCCACAGGCGGGACCUGGAUAGAGGUCACCACACAGCUGGGCUCAGGUGCCAAGUUCUAGGAAUGUAGAAACUCUCGAGUAAUAGCAGUGUCUAUGUGUGGUGGGUUGGAUAAGAAUGCCCCCUGUAGGCUCAUGUUAGACUGUUCGGUUCCCAGUUGGUGGACUGUGUAGGAAGCAUUAGGAGAUGCGACCUUUCGGAGUAGGUGUGGCUUUGCUAGAGGAGGUGUGUCACUGGGGAUGGGCUUUGGGAUUCCAGAAGCCCACAGCAGGCCCAAUCUAUCCCUCUCUGCCUGCAACAAGCAGGUUAGAAGUGAGCUCUUAGCUACCGCUCCAGUGCCUGCCUGCUUGCCACCACCAUGCUUCCUGCCAUGAUGGUCAUGGACUCACCCUCUGAAACUGCAAGCAAGCCCCCAAUUGAAUGCUUUCUUUUAUAAGCUGCCUUGGUCAUGGUGUUUCUUCACAGCAGCAAUACUCUUCACAGUAACUAAAACAACAGGUUUCCUUUCUUUGAUAAAUCUCCCUCUACAGGUUCCUGUUUUAGAGGAGAAAGCAUUGAAUGGGUUUAGAGCCCAGAGCCCUGUGUCCAUCCAACACUGCCUACUACCAAAUAACGAGUUCCCAGUUCUCUGGAUAUUGAUCUCGAAUGUCUCACUAACCUGGUGUCUGUCUCGGUUUUCUUCUCGUGAGACGCUGGAAUGAUAUAAUAAUUGCUUGUGUCCACUUCAUGGGAAUAGUGUGAGCCUAUGUGAGAUAGUGUGUGAGAGGUUUAUAGGAAGGAGCUUAGCCCAAGAGCCAAUUAGCUCAGCAAAAGUAGUAUCUAGAGGACUCUCCUCCUUUUGAUGUUGGAGAUCUUCAGUUAAUGGUGCUUGAUGUUAAAGUGAGAUUCAACAAGGAACUGGGUAUUCAAUAGGGGAACAAUCUAUUUGCCUUUUACUAGUAACAGAGUUCUGGACAUAACUGUCUGCAACCAUCCACUGGAUUCUGUCACUUCUUAAAUGGAGGGUGCUAAAUUAUUCUUCGGAAGCCUAGGCAAGUUGAGGGUGUAGAAUUGUACUUAAGACACUUUCUGUUAUCUAGUAGUGAUGAUUACCCUUAGGUAAUAUGAUACUGACACUAUUAUUUCCUAACAGAAGGUGAUGGUGACGAAUGACAAUAUUCUUAGAGACACUAUGUAAAAAGUUGUUUGUUAGAGUUCUCAGUAGUACAACCACACCCACCUCACCAGCUGGUAUCUACUUUGGAGGCCAUGUUUUCUGAGACACUAUUUGGUAAGUCUAUUUGAGGUCCUAAGAGUCUGGAAAUGAUGUUAACACCGAAAUUCGUCUAGAAGGAUGAGCAUAUCAAGAGUCAAGACUGAGGGUGGAACCCCUAGACUCUGAAAUCCAUGAUAGAGCCUCAGCAGCCAUCUGAAAACACGGAGUGUGGAUCACCAAACUCUGCAAUCCAUGGUACAGCCUCAACAGCCAUCUGAAAACUGCUUGCUGAGGGACAGGAAGACAGAUGAGGGAACAGAGCAAUCCGGAUCGACCCAAAUGCCUAUGAUAAAUGAGCCACUUUGAAUCGGUUUGGAAAAAGAAGGGAUUAUUUAAUAAAUGGUGCUGGGACAACUGUCAAGGUUUGGGAAAUUCAUACUCAUUCUGUAUUUCAAAAUAAAUCCCAUAUGGGUCAAAUAUUUAAAGGUGAGGAUGGAACUUUUAAAAGCAUUAGAAGAAAAUAUGGGUAAAUAUUUUUACACAUCAUGUGGUGGAUAAGACAUUUAGAAGUAUGACACGGAGCCCCCAAAUGACAAAUAAAGCAAAACAGCUGACGGUCUCUGAGCACAUAAGAAUCGGAUGUAUUACAGCUGCCUCUGCCCAAAGACAAGCUUGGAAAAAACAACUGUCCGAGAGGCCUAAAGUUGACAGCCGAAAUCUAAAAAGAACUUUGUAGUAUAUCUAUUAAAAGGAUACAAAAUUCCAAAGGAUGGAGUAUGCGAACAAGAAAUUCACAAAAGAAAUAUAAAUAGCCAACAUAUUUGUGAAGAGAUGUUCAAACUCACUGAUAAUAACCAUGCUUUUUUUUUUUUUUUUUUUUUAAAGAGAAUCAAGUAAAAACAAGGCCUUCCAGUGAAACAUGUUAAGUGAAAUGGAUGCACUCGCCUCCUCUCCUUCACACCCAGCUGGAUGACAUCAGAAGGACAAACUGGCAUGGAUUUCCAAAUAUAAGGAGGGGAGAAGGGCAGCCAAGCACAGUUACAGGGUUGAAAGCAGAUGGACUCUGGGAAAGCAACAUGGAGACAGGACACCGAGAAGGCCAGCAUAGGAGGGCACAAAAGGCAAGAGACCAUGCCAACACCCUCAGGGGAUGGGGCCAACUGAGGAGUCCCAGGACUUCCGGGGCAGGAGUGCACGUGGAGUUGAAUAACCACAGGUUCAGGUUUGGCUGAGAGUCAGUGGAGGGCCCCCAUGCUGGCACAGCAGGAAGAACACAGCCCCUCCAGGCUGUGCAGACCUGGGGCGGACGGGCAGAUUUCUAAUAAUAAGGAGCUUGGCAUGUGAACCUCUGCUGUGCUUUUGGCCUUGGUUUGGGGGAUACAGACCUACCCACUUGACUCAGAUGUUGAUGACCAGAUACACCCCUUACAUUGAAGAUGAGAAGACUCCAUUCUGUAGAAACAAUCGAACCCAAGAAAAAGGACCUGUAGCUGUGGACAGUUCACUCUGAGAAAAUGUCUAGCAAGUCAACUAGCAGCAUAGUCUGCCGACAGUGUUCUGUGCUGCAAGAGAGCAUCCAAAGUCUUGGAGUGUGUGUAUAGUAAACAGCCAAAGGCAUACUGUUUGAGACAGAAGUUUCUGCACCCAUAAUGACAAGAAUCCUACAAAGACACAAACAAAAUAAGAUAAAGUAACAGAAAUAAAACUAAAUGGGAGGACUAGACAUAAAUGAAGAAACUCAAAUAAUCUAAGAACUCUUAAGAGAACAAAUGUAGGGUAGAAAAUAAUAUUAGAGAAUGUGAGGAGGGCUCGCAUCCAAAUAACAGUUUCUAGCAGAUGGCAGAAAAGCGUCACUUACAUAGAAAGUUACCAAAGCCUAAAAGGUACUCUUUUGAAAAAUGAAAUACUUACCAAGUGGAUGAAAAUACCCAUACAUUUGUUGUUCCUUUGAAAAGAAGUCUGUGGGAUCUUUAAAAUGUAACACAGGUUGCUGCUUCAUGACAUAUUAAGAGGAAAGCAUACAUCAAAAAUAGCUGUGACUAAUACGAACCCAUUUAUGUACAUGCAUUCUUAUAUAAAAAGACAUCUGGAUGACCAAGAUGCUCACAAUGGUUACAAUAAAGAUCAAGAAUGCCCCAUGGGUGGCGAUGUAUCUUGGGACAGGUGCUCUCCUUUUCUGUCUUCAUUGACUGUCUUCUAUGAAUAAUGCAACUUAGAAAGUCAUUUCCAUUGCCCCAUCUUAGUUCCUUCUGUCUGAUCAGAUACUAGGCCCUCUUCUUCCUGUCUCUCUACAUUGUUUCAAUGAAUCUACCUCUUACCUUUUCUUGUGCCUGGCAAAUCUCACAUUUGAGCUGCAGAGUCUUCUAAUUGUUUCCUAUGAACCUCUACUCACUUGCCACACCCACUGUGAACUAACCUGACUCUGAGAGGAUGUUACCUCCUGCCCCUGCCCCAGUCACCUUUUUCUGUGUCUCCAAUUUUGUGCCAUAGACCCACGUCCCACCUAUCUAACUGCUGAAAGCAGAAACCCAGAGCUCCAUUCUGGAUCCUAUCCUCUUGUUGACCCUACCUUUAAGUAUUACCUCACACACAUGUCCACUCCUUUCUGCCCCCUAUGACUGUUAACUAUCUUCUCAUUUAUUGAUUCAUCCAUUCAGCAGCUAAGUCUUGGCUGUGCUAGGUGCUAGGUUAAGAGAUGACAUACAAUGGCGAAGGAGGAUAGACAAAGGGUUCCUAUGUUACAGAGGAAAUGAGCCACUAUGGAUAAGCCAGGGAGAAUAACCCUUUCGGAGGGGUCAACUAAGGCCAUCAGAAAACACAAAUAUUUACAUUAUGAUUCAUAACAGUAGCAAAAAUUACAGUUCUGAAGUAGCAAUGAAAUAAUUUUUAUGGUCGGGGUCACCACAACAUGAGGAACUGUAUUAAAGGGAAGCACCAUCAGGAAGGUUGAGAACCACUGAAAUAAGCCAUCAAAACCAGCACCUAAUAUAGUAAGCACUAUGAAGAAAAUAAACAGAAUGUGCCAUUGAGAAUAAGCAACAAGAGGGAGGUACCAUCACUCCUGAGCUAGGAUGGCUAGGGAACAUCCUGAGGACAAGAUAGAGAAGAACAGGCCGAAGGCUGCCCCCACACCCUGGGAUCUCUUCUGCAUCAAACUUGAAGUUCGAUCCCAUGAAAGGCAAACAAAUCACCACACAGAAAGAGUUUCGUGGCACAUUAGGAGAAAAGCAUGCUUCAAAAGAGUUGUACACAAUACCUAUGGGUGGAACACUGCACACUCAACACAUUUGAAGAGAUGCUACUGUCUUCAAACAGCAACUUCAAGGUGAAAGGGUAGUGCUAGCCACAGUUCAAGGGAUAGUCUAUCAUGGUGGGGAAGUGAAGGCAGCUGGGGCUUGAAGCAGCUGGUCACAUCACAUCUGAAGUCAGAAACUGACAGCAAGGUGUAGCUUGUACUCUCCAUUUUAUACGGUCCAGGAUCACCUGAUCCUCUCAUGAUUAAGAUGGCUCUUCCCAUAUCAAUUGACAUAAUCGAGAUAACCCCCCACAGGCCCAUAUGCCAGGUGAUUUUAGAUUCUGCCAAAUUGACAAAGCCAGAAGCAGGAACUCAGAAAUUGCUGAUGUCCCCUGGCCACAUGUGAGCCCAUGUUGAGUUCCUGUUAAGCAGUGCAUGCUCUAGGGCAUAACAAAAAAAGAAAAAAAAAUCAAACGGACAAGAGCAGAUUGGGUUGCUCUAGAACGCCAGACAGAACCUGAGACAAUGUUUCAGUCAUGCCUGCCUCCAAGUGUACUUCUGAGGCCAUGCAAGUUGCCACGUCCUGGAGCUACGUGUGGAGAGCUACAGUUUUCAUUAGGGUAGAACAUUUCAGUGCUGGACACAGCGACCAGGGCCAUCUUCCCCCAAGACCUCCUCUCCCCAAGAAUUUCUCUUCAUUCUUACCAUCUCUCCCUUCUUUUCUGAGAACAUUUAUGUUUUUUUUUUCCCAUGGAACCCAGGGUCUUGCACAUGCCAAACAAGUGCUCUGUACCUGAGUUAUGUGCUCAGUUUGUGCUCUUCAGAAUGUAAUCCCCUUCUUAUAAGACAGCUUGCAGCCUAUCUGCACCAACUGAAAUUCUUGAAAGAAAAAGUUAUGAUCCCUCCUUCUGCACAAACGGUCCCUGCUUUUAAAAAUUGUUUGAAAUUGCUUGGUAGAUUUGAGGAGUCUCGCAUGUACGGAAGGUGUUUUAACUGGCCCACUAGACCACAGGGCCUGUGGUUGAUGUUUGCCUAGGAAGGAGGGCUAGAAGGGGAGGUCCUAGACCAUGGUACUACUGUUCAUUGGUCAUUGACUUAUUCACUUAAUAAGUGUAUGCUGAGGACCGGCCAUUUGCCAGACUCAGUUCUGGAUACAGGGAAGCCAGCAGCUAGCAAAGGCGGCCAGGAGCCCGCUCUCCUGAAACUCAAGGCAAAUACACAAGUAGACACCUUUAGGUGAUGUAGGAAAAGAAAAUGGGGUGAGGUUUGGAGUGAUGGGGUGUUGUCAUACAGGCCCGUCAGUAGCUGCUCCAGUCUUCCUUUAUGCCUCCAGCUCCUGUGAGGUCUGACUGAAGCCAGCACUUAGUUCUCAUAGACCAGCUCAAAUACACACCCUCCAGGUGCGCCCCCAGUCUUCUCCACUUUUCUCCCACAUCAGAAGCAGCCCCUUGUGUCUAGUCUCCCACUCUCAAUGGGUUCUUUUUGCCCUUACUUUAAGGAUGCAGGCUCCAGAAGAAAAGUCCACUUUUGAUGGUAUCCCUGUAUCCAGCCUACUCCACACAGCGCCAGUUCCAGCCAGAGCAGAACCAUCCCAUGAGCAAACAUAAAGAGUGGAUUUUCAGUACCCACCUAUGGGAGGCAAGGACUAGCCCAGCAGACCUCCAAGCCUGAGUAUUGGCUACUCCCUGGAGGUAGUCAAACUAAUUAUUAACCAGGCCCAAACACACAGAUUUGAAUCAGAACCUUGGGGCAGAGUCCAGCAAGGUGCCCUUUGAGGAGCCACCUAGUAAUCCAGAUGCACAAUCUAGAUCAAGACCCUCUGGGCCACUGGGGGCUGCCACAGGCAGGAAGGAGGAGGAAGAGGCAACCUCCCUGGUGGGUAGGGAUGGAUCGGGACAGCCUGGGAGAGAAGACAGAGAGGAAGAAGAAGGCCUGGAGAAAAGGAGGAAAGAGAGAAAGGGAGCAUCUUGCAGAAGGUCCUGCGACCCAGCCUCCAUUCUGGGCCGGCUCACAUCCCUGUGGGCGGAGUCUUGGAGACCAGACCGCGCCUCACGUUAGCUGGGCAACAUCCUCAGGACCCUAGCGAGGUCCUUGGCCCUCGCCCUUCCCGUACCUGCUCGAGCUUCGGGGGGCGCGGGGGGGGGGGGGGCACCUUCAGCAUGGCCGUCGCCCUCCGUGCCGCCAGAUCGUCCCUGCGCUGGAUCCCCGCGGGGAGCGUCCAGUGGUGGUGGUCGGGAGGGAGGCCUGGCAGUGGCAGCGCAAUGCAGUGCCGCCUCCGGAGCUCAGAGCCACCGUGCACCUCGCCAGAGCAAUGCGCAUCCCCUGGGCCCAAGGACCUACGGCGGGGACGUGGUCUGUGGGUCCUCCUAGGCGACGGAGUGUCCCGCGCUCCGCCUCGUGUGCUCCCCUCUGGAACCAGAGGUGACUGGUCUGGAAGAGGGUCCCGAACAGUGGGUUCUGGAGAGCAGAGAACAAAGCAACCAGUACUUCCUGUAUUCCAAAGAAGGGGGAUAGAGGCUGAACGUACCCAGAGCACAGCAGGAUCAGCUGGAUCAUUGUCAACCACACCGCUCACCUUCAGGCUGGCCAAGUUGUGACACAGCACCGAGGUCUCCACCUUCACCCUGAAGACGUCCAUUGUAUCCCAGUUGCUAACUUCAGACAUGUGACUGGACAUUUCCAAACUGAAGUCGCAGCGGUAGUUGAAGCUGGAAUUAUGUGAAAUGGAACUCACCAUCUGCCUUCUGAACUCGUUCCUGUUGAUGCUGUUGCUGACUGGUACACCUAAGCCGUCCUGGGGCCUUGGUUCUUCUAUGUCCUACCAUCCAGAUUGCUUGGAUUCUUCACAGUGGUCUCAUUCUAUAUACAAUCCUCUACACCAGACUUCACAUCUUAUUAAAGAUCAUCCUAGAAAUCUCUAAGCCAUGGCAGCUACAAGAAUAAUAACAACCCCAGACAGGAUCCUCACUGAACCGAAGCUCACUGAUUCCACUGACUGACUGGCCAGUUAGCUCCUGGGAUCCUCUGGUCUCUGCACCACCAAUGCUAAGAUUACAGGCUUGUGUGGCAAAGCUCAGUUUUUUAAAAAUUUAUUUUAUUUUUUAUUUCUUUCAUUUUUUUUUUUACAUGAGUGCUGGAGAUUGGAACUCAGGAAUUCACACUUGUUCUGUGUGCACUUCCUCAGCAGAGCCCUCUCCCAGCUUUAUGGGCUGACAUAUUUUAGUACCUUGUCUAGAUAGCUAACUCUUCAAAAAAAACAAAAACGGGCUUUUAAAAAUAGUAAGUACAUUUUACCUCAGCUCAGCCUCAGCUCCCUGACUUUUCACUUGCUGUCCCCCGUUUGAGACUCUGGGUAACCCCUCAGACUUUUGUUCCUUCCUUUGCUGACUUCUGUUACAGAUCUCUUUCCCCUUGGACCGCCGCCUCUAUGGGUUUCCAGCCCUUGCGAUUUUGCUUCCCAGAUCCAGAGCUAAGGAGCCAGUUUACAUUCCAUCCUUUCCCCAAAGCCCUUCUCCUAUUUUGCCCACCCCUUCUUGUCUACACUUAUUAAAGGGGAAAAGGAAUGUAUUACUUUGGCCUAAAAAAUUUCUUUUAGAAAACAUAGUAUUUGGAAGAAAGGGACCCAUCCUAAUUCCUACCUGGGAAGACCAGGUGAUUUCAUACAAUAAUUUUGUGCUUGUUCACUGAGGAAACCAGUGAUUGGAUCCCAGUGCCCCUAUGUGCUUCAGGUACAAGAUUCAGUGUAGGGGACCUCCCAUUAGAUGAGGAACCCAGGUGAGGGUCUGUUUGAGGACCUCUGAAAUCUUCAUUUCUCUCUUUAUUCUCAGUUUUGGCCAAUGGUCCUUUUAGAGAAAUAAAUAUCUUACUUUGUUCGGAUAAUGUGUAUUAAUUGUACGUGUUAAUGUGUUUCAGUGUAUUAUUUCACAUCCUGAUUAAAUCUUUUCCCUUAAAUUUCUCCACCCAGAUUUCCCAGUCUCUACUUAUGAAUGUUCUUCAUAUGGCUGUUCUGAACUUCUGUUUAUGAGAGAGGAUGUGUGACACUUAGCUUUUUCUGUGACUUAUUUCAUUUAAUACAAUGUCCUUCAGCUUCACUCCCAUUUUGCUGCAAAUGACAGGAUUUUGUUUGUUUUAUAGUUGAGUAAUAUCCAUGUAGCUGCAUCUAUAUAUAGUUCAUUUUCUUCUUCUGCUCAUCUGCUGCUGGUCCUCUUGGCUGAUUCCAUGUUAGCUGUUAUGAAGAGUGAGUGCCUUGAUGUACACAGGUUUACAGGUACUCCUUUGCCAUGAAGAUUGCUUCAGAAGUAGUGUAGUUGGAACAUACACAAUUCUAGUAUUUGGAAGAGCCUCCAUCCUAUUCUCUAGAAUGGACAGGUUAAUUUCCUUCCCUGUCAACUGUGUAUGAAGUACUGCUCUUUCCCACAUUCUUUCCAGCAUUUGUAAUUUUUUGAUAACUAUUAAAACUGGAGACAGUAUCUCAUUGUAAUUUUAAUUCAAUUUCCUGAUGCUAAUAAUAUUGGGUACUUUUCAUACAUCUAUGUCUAUAUUUCGUGUUUUUAAUUCUAUGAUGCAGCCUUAGUAUUUUGAAAUUACAAAGAAGUUUAGGUCUGUGUAGUGACCUGCUUCUAUAUUCUGCAAGUGGGAAGAUGGGAUUUUACAAGAGAUCUUACAGAAGGGUGAAUGCUCUCUCACAGAAUCUUUUUCUCAAUAUUUGGUAAAUUAGAUCAGAUGUGUUUUUUCUACCCUUGACACCAUCUCCCUGUGAAGGGUGUGAACCAAAACUCAAUAAACCAACCAAGAUGUUACCACUUAACUUAAAAUCUAGUGCGAAGUUUUAUCCUAAGUGGAGAAAAAAGGAACUAUUAUAGGCAGAAUUCAAAGUGCCCUUGAUGGGUGUUAUGUUGGCUAUACUUAUGUCAACUUGACACAAAAUAUAGUCAUCUGAUAGGAGGGAACCUUAGUUAAGAAAAUGCCUCCAUAAGAUCAGGCUGUAGUCAAGCCUGUAGGUCAUUUUCUUAAUUAGUGAUUGAUGUAGGAGAGCCCACCCCAUUGUGGGUGGUGCCACCCUGGGCUGGUGGUCCUGGGUUCUAUAGAAAGCAGGCUGACCAAGCCAUGACGUAGCAAGCUAAAAAGCAACACCUCUCCAUGGCUUCUGCAUCAGCUCCUGCCUCCAGGUUCCCACCCUGUUAGAGUUCCUGCUCUGGCUUCUUUUAGUGAUGGACUAUAAUAUGGAAGUCUAGGCCCAAUGAACACUUUCCUUCCAAACUUGCUUUUUGGUCAUGGUGUUUCUCCGAAGCAAGAGAAACGACAGCUAAGACAGGUGCUAUGCGUGUCACUUUCUUCUUCCUUUCCAAUUUGCAUUCCCUUGAUCUCCUUUUGUUGUCUUAUUGCCCUAGCUAGAACUUCCAGUACUAUAUUGAAUAGGUAUGGAGAGAAUGGACAGCCUUGUCUUGUUCCUGAUUUUAGUGGAAUCACUUUGAGUUUCUUGCCGUUUAGUUUGAUGUUGGCUGUCGGCUUGCUGUAAAUUGCCUUUAUUAUGUUUAGUUAUGUUCUUUGUAUCCCUGAUCUCUCUAAGACCUUUAUCAUGAAGGGGUGUUGGAUUUUGUCAGAGACUUUUUCAGCAUCUAAUGAGAUGAUCAUGUGUUUUUUUUUCUUUCAGUUUGUUUUUAUGGUGUAUUACAUCGACAGAUUUUUGUAUAUUGACCCAUCCCUACAUCUCUGGGAUGAAGCCUACUUGAUCAUGGUGGAUGAUUUUUUUUUGAUGUGUUCUUGGAUUUGGUUUGCUAGUAUUUUAUUGAGUAUUUUUGCAUCAAUGUUCAUGAGAGAGAUUGAUCUGUAAGUCUCUUUUGUAGUUGUGUCUUUAUGUGGUUUGGGUAUCAGGGUAACUGUAGCCUUGUAAAAAGUUUGGCAAUGUUCCUUCUGUUUUUAUUGUUUAUAACAGUUUCAGGAGUAUUGGUAUUAGCUUUUCUUUGAAAUUCUGGUAGAAUUCUGUGCUGAAGCCAUCUGGCCCUGAGCUUUUUUUGCUUGGGAGACUUUUGAUGAUUACUUCUAUUUCCUUAGGAGUUAUAUAGGUCUAUUUAAAUUGUUUAUCUGAUCUUGAUUUAAUUUUGGUAUCUUGUACCUUUCCAAAAAUUUGUCCAUUUCUUUUACAUUUUCCAAUUUUGUGGAGUACAGGUUUUCUAAGCAUGGCCUAAUGAUUGUCUGGAUUUCCUCAGUGUCUAGUUUUGUCAUGAAAUAUCUUGUUUUCUCCAUCUAUGGUGAUUGAAAGCUUUGCUGGGUAUAGUAGUCUGGGCUGGCAUCUGUGGUCUCUUAGUAUCUACAGAAUGUCUGUCCAGGACCUUCUGGCUUUCAGAGUUUCUAUUGAGAAGUUGAGUGUAAUUCUGGAAGGUGUGCCCUUAUAUGCUACUUGACCUUUUCCCUUUGCUGCUUUUAAUAUUCUUUCUUUAUUCUGUAUGUUUAGUGUUUUGACUAUUAUGUGGCAAUGGGACUUUUUUUGUGUGGCCUAGUCUGUUUGGUGUUCUGUACACUUCUUGUACCAUCAUAGGCAUGUCUUUCUUUAGAUUGGGAUAGUUUUCUUCUAUAAUUUUGUUGAAUAUAUUUUCUGUGCCUUUGAGCUGGAAUUUCCCCCCCUCUUCUAUCCCUAUUAUUCUUAUGUUUGGUCUUUCCAUGGUGUCUCAGAUUUCCUGGAUGUUUUGUAUUAAAAAUUUGCUGGAUUUAACAUUUUCUUUGACGAAUGAAUAUUUCCUCUAUUGUAGCCUCAAUGCCCGAGAUUCUCUCUUCCAUUUCUUGUAUUCUGUUGGUUAUAUUUGCCUCUGUAGUUUCUGUUCAUUUACUCAGAUUUUUCUUUUUCCUGAAUUCCCUCAGUUUGUGUUUUCUUUAUCGCUUCUAUUUCAAUUUUCAAGUCUUGAACUGUUUCCUUCACCUGUUUGAUUGUUUUUUUCUCGGUUUUCUUGACUCUCUUUAAGAGAUUUCUUCCAUUUUUUUUUUUUUUUUGGUUUUUCGAGACAGGGUUACUCUGUAGUUUUGCGCCUUUCCUGGAACUCACUUUGUAGACCAGGCUGGCCUCGAACUCACAGAGAUCCUCCUACCUCUGCCUCCUGAGUGCUGGGAUUAAAGGCGUGCGCCACCACCGCCCGGCUUUCUUCCAAUUUUUUAUUGAUCUUUUCCUCCAUUUCUUUAAGGGAAGUUUUCAUUUCCUCUUUUAGGGUCUCUAUCAUCUUCAUAAAGUUGUUUUUAAGGUCAUUUUCUUCUGGAUCAUCUGCUUUGGGAUGUUUAGGUCUUGCUGUUGUAGGAUCACUAGGCUCUGGUACCGUAUUUUUCUUUACAUUGUUAAAUGUGUUUUUACAUUGCAAUCUACCCAUUUCUUCCUUUAAUCUGAACAGGUGGUGCUCUGGGUCACUCUUCUUCCAAUUGGUUCAGGUGGGUCCUCUGGAUCCCGUGGUUCUUCUUCCCAAUUCGUCCAGGAAGGGGCAUAUGGCCCCAAUGCGCUGGUGCCUCAGGGGAUGGUUGUUGAGGGGGUAGGGGUGGGAAGAAGCUGCUGCCCAGUCUCUGGG